rnacentral:rRNA from 1 species
UGCAAGUCGAACGAACUCUGGUAUUGAUUGGUGCUUGCAGUCAUGAUUUACAUUUGAGUGAGUGGCGAACUGGUGAGUAACACGUGGGAAACCUGCCCAGAAGCGGGGGAUAACACCUGGAAACAGAUGCUAAUACCGCAUAACAACUUGGACCGCAUGGUCCGAGCUUGAAAGAUGGCUUCGGCUAUCACUUUUGGAUGGUCCCGCGGCGUAUUAGCUAGAUGGUGGGGUAACGGCUCACCAUGGCAAUGAUACGUAGCCGACCUGAGAGGGUAAUCGGCCACAUUGGGACUGAGACACGGCCCAAACUCCUACGGGAGGCAGCAGUAGGGAAUCUUCCACAAUGGACGAAAGUCUGAUGGAGCAACGCCGCGUGAGUGAAGAAGGGUUUCGGCUCGUAAAACUCUGUUGUUAAAGAAGAACAUAUCUGAGAGUAACUGUUCAGGUAUUGACGGUAUUUAACCAGAAAGCCACGGCUAACUACGUGCCAGCAGCCGCGGUAAUACGUAGGUGGCAAGCGUUGUCCGGAUUUAUUGGGCGUAAAGCGAGCGCAGGCGGUUUUUUAAGUCUGAUGUGAAAGCCUUCGGCUCAACCGAAGAAGUGCAUCGGAAACUGGGAAACUUGAGUGCAGAAGAGGACAGUGGAACUCCAUGUGUAGCGGUGAAAUGCGUAGAUAUAUGGAAGAACACCAGUGGCGAAGGCGGCUGUCUGGUCUGUAACUGACGCUGAGGCUCGAAAGUAUGGGUAGCAAACAGGAUUAGAUACCCUGGUAGUCCAUACCGUAAACGAUGAAUGCUAAGUGUUGGAGGGUUUCCGCCCUUCAGUGCUGCAGCUAACGCAUUAAGCAUUCCGCCUGGGGAGUACGGCCGCAAGGCUGAAACUCAAAGGAAUUGACGGGGGCCCGCACAAGCGGUGGAGCAUGUGGUUUAAUUCGAAGCUACGCGAAGAACCUUACCAGGUCUUGACAUACUAUGCAAAUCUAAGAGAUUAGACGUUCCCUUCGGGGACAUGGAUACAGGUGGUGCAUGGUUGUCGUCAGCUCGUGUCGUGAGAUGUUGGGUUAAGUCCCGCAACGAGCGCAACCCUUAUUAUCAGUUGCCAGCAUUAAGUUGGGCACUCUGGUGAGACUGCCGGUGACAAACCGGAGGAAGGUGGGGAUGACGUCAAAUCAUCAUGCCCCUUAUGACCUGGGCUACACACGUGCUACAAUGGAUGGUACAACGAGUUGCGAACUCGCGAGAGUAAGCUAAUCUCUUAAAGCCAUUCUCAGUUCGGAUUGUAGGCUGCAACUCGCCUACAUGAAGUCGGAAUCGCUAGUAAUCGCGGAUCAGCAUGCCGCGGUGAAUACGUUCCCGGGCCUUGUACACACCGCCCGUCACACCAUGAGAGUUUGUAACACCCAAAGUCGGUGGGGUAACCUUUUAGGAACCAGCC